rnacentral:lncRNA from 1 species
AUGGCCACGUGGGAAUUCUUAUGCCAUUGGCCUCUCAUCAGGCAAAGAACUUUGAAACUGUACUGUCAGUGGGAACCAAUUCUCAUGACCAUGAGAGAGUGUCGCACAUUGGGCCACACAAUAAGGCAUGUCCACAACACACAGGAAUCCCUGCAGAUAUCUCUUGGAGUUUCUGUGUCCAGUGAUAAGAAUAAACAGUCAAUUGUAGCAACCAUCAGAUGGCAAAGGCAAGGCAUGUCAGGAAUCACAUCCUUGGGAAUAAAAGGCUGUGUCACACUAUCAGCAGUCGCAGCCCUGGGGCAGAGAUCAUCAGACGCCAGCUCUCUCCCAGCAAGUCGCUUCCAGCCGUUAACAGGAGCCCAAGAGCUUGGUAGAGGGCUGGGUUGAAGGCUCAAUUCGCUUUAAGUUGGCUUCGUAGUACCAUCGAAUGCUAUACACUUGGAAAAACAUUGAAGAUCACCUUAUCGAAUUCCCUUAUUUUGGAGAGAAAAUUCAGGACGAAAAGGUAAUGUGCUAUGGUCAAGACCACAUCAUAAGUUAGUAGCAAAGCGUGGGUUACUUAACUCCUAGUGAAAUAUUCUUUCCACUCUCCAUUGGGAUAUGUGUUAUCUGGAUGCUGAGGAAAAGGCUUAUUAUUUUUAUGUAAAUUGCUUUAGUUUUCCAGAUGCAUCUCAGAACCGGUGAGAGUCAUAUGAUCUAGGAAAGACAGAUACUGUAACAAUUUUCACAAUGAACAGCUUGAUCUGACGAUGUGCGUUUUAAUUUCUUAUUUUUAUCACAGUUCUUGGCAUUUUUUUCAUAAAUAAAUCAUGAACAUCUCGCUGAUGGUAUUUUCA